GAUGAACGCUGGCGGCGUGCCUAAUACAUGCAAGUCGAGCGAACGGACGAGAAGCUUGCUCCUCUGAUGUUAGCGGCGGACGGGUGAGUAACACGUGGAUAACCUACCUAUAAGACUGGGAUAACUUCGGGAAACCGGAGCUAAUACCGGAUAAUAUUUUGAACCGCAUGGUUCAAUAGUGAAAGACGGUUUUGCUGUCACUUAUAGAUGGAUCCGCGCUGCAUUAGCUAGUUGGUAAGGUAACGGCUUACCAAGGCAACGAUGCGUAGCCGACCUGAGAGGGUGAUCGGCCACACUGGAACUGGGACACGGUCCAGACUCCUACGGGAGGCAGCAGUAGGGAAUCUUCCGCAAAGGGCGAAAGCCUGACGGAGCAACGCCGCGUGAGUGAUGAAGGUCUUCGGAUCGUAAAACUCUGUUAUUAGGGAAGAACAUAUGUGUAAGUAACUAUGCACAUCUUGACGGUACCUAAUCAGAAAGCCACGGCUAACUACGUG
rnacentral:rRNA from 1 species